rnacentral:rRNA from 1 species
UACGGAGGGAGCUAGCGUUGUUCGGAAUUACUGGGCGUAAAGCGCGCGUAGGCGGCUUUGUAAGUUAGAGGUGAAAGCCCGGGGCUCAACCCCGGAAUUGCCUUUAAGACUGCAUCGCUUGAAUCCGGGAGAGGUGAGUGGAAUUCCGAGUGUAGAGGUGAAAUUCGUAGAUAUUCGGAAGAACACCAGUGGCGAAGGCGGCUCACUGGACCGGCAUUGACGCUGAGGUGCGAAAGCGUGGGGAGCAAAACAGG